CGGCUUUGUAAGUUAGAGGUGAAAGCCCGGGGCUCAACUCCGGAAUUGCCUUUGAGACUGCAUCGCUAGAAUGGUGGAGAGGUGGGUGGAAUUCCGAGUGUAGAGGUGAAAUUCGUAGAUAUUCGGAAGAACACCAGUGGCGAAGGCGACUUACUGGACUCAUAUUGACGCUGAGGUGCGAAAGCGUGGGGAGCAAACAGGAUUAAAUACCCUGGUAGUCCCCGCCGUAAACAAUGAUGACUAUCUGUCGGGGCGCUUAACGUUCCAGUGGCGCAGCUAACGCGUGAAGUCAUCCGCCUGGGGAGUACGGCCGCAAGGUUAAAACUCAAAGAAAUUGACGGGGGCCUGCACAAGCGGUGGAUCAUGUGGUUUAAUUCGAAGCAACGCGCAGAACCUUACCUGCGUUUGACAUGGUACGACGGUUUCUGGAAACCGAUUCCUUCCCUUACGGGACC
rnacentral:rRNA from 1 species